rnacentral:rRNA from 1 species
UACGUAGGGGGCUAGCGUUGUCCGGAAUCAUUGGGCGUAAAGAGCGUGUAGGCGGCCCGGUAAGUCCGCUGUAAAAGUCAAAGGCUCAACCUUUGAAUGUCAGUGGAUACUGUCGGGCUAGAGUCCGGAAGAGGCGAGUGGAACUCCUGGUGUAGCGGUGGAAUGCGCAGAUAUCAGGAAGAACACCCGUGGCUAAGGCGGCUCUCUAGUACGGUACUGACGCUGAGACGCGAAAGCGUGGGGAGCGAACAGG